rnacentral:lncRNA from 1 species
GUGCAACGACGGUAUAUCACAAAUGCAUGUUCAGUGUAGUAAAAGGGUAUUUCUUUCAUGUGUGCACAUGUGUUGAGUUGAUAAGUUCAGAACAUUCCUAUCUGUAGCAUAAACUGCUUUAAAACAAUGGUUAGCAGAUCUCAUCCCCAGGUUUAUUGUGCCCGAACCUUAAAUGCUGCAACAAGCAGCCAAAAAAAAACCUGGUAAUUCUUUUGAAAUUUAAAACACCGAGGAUAUAAAAAUAACCUUUGUUAGGCGGAAAGCCCUUCUUUUUUUCCUUCACAUAGUUAACAGAGCCACCAUGUGAAGCCUUAAUCCUCUCCUCCUCUUGUGUGC